rnacentral:rRNA from 1 species
CCCUUAGACGCUCUAGGCGGCACGCGCGCUACAAUGGGUGGUAGAACGUGUAACUGCUCCCGAAAGGGAGGGUGAACCACGAAUACUUACCCGUGAAUGGGAUAGUUUGUUGCAAUUUUCGGACUUGAACUAGGAAUCCCUUGUAAGAAUGCUCAAGAAUAGCGUGCUGAAUACGUCCCUGCCGUUUGUACACACCGCCCGUCGUUUCUUCCGACUGAUACUCAUUGUGAGUUGCAAGGAUUCUUAUUGAAAAAUUGCUGCGAAUGCUUUGUAUUGGAGGAAGAAAAAAUCGUAACA